AAUGCGUAGGUGGAUAUUUAAGUGGGAUGUGAAAUCCCCGGGCUCAACCCGGGAACUGCAUACCAAACUGGAUAUCUGGAGUGCAGGAGAGGAAAGCGGAAUUCCUAGUGUAGCGGUGAAAUGCGUAGAUAUUAGGAGGAACACCAGUGGCGAAGGCGGCUUUCUGGACUGUAACUGACACUGAGGCAUGAAAGCGUGGGGAGCAAACAGGAUUAGAUACCCUGGUAGUCCACGCCGUAAACUAUGGGUACUAGGUGUAGGGGGUAUCGACUCCCCCUGUGCCGCCGUUAACACAAUAAGUACCCCGCCUGGGGAGUACGGUCGCAAGACUAAAACUCAAAGGAAUUGACGGGGGCCCGCACAAGCAGCGGAGCAUGUGGUUUAAUUCGAAGCAACGCGAAUAACCUUACCUAGACUUGACAUCUCCUGAAUUACCCGUAACUGGGGAAGCUCUUCGGAGCAAGAAGACAGGUGGUGCAUGGUUGUCGUCAGCUCGUGUCGUGAGAUGUUGGGUUAAGUCCCGCAACGAGCGCAACCCUUAUCGUUAGUUGCUACCAUUAGGUUGAGCACUCUAGCGAGACUGCCCGGGUUAACCGGGAGGAAGGUGGGGAUGACGUCAAAUCAUCAUGCCCCUUAUGUCUAGGGCUACACACGUGCUACAAUGGUGAGAACAAAGAGACGCAAGACCGCGAGGUGGAGCAAAUCUCACAAAACUCAUCCCAGUUCGGAUUGCAGGCUGAAACUCGCCUGCAUGAAGCCGGAGUUGCUAGUAAUCGCGAAUCAGCAUGUCGCGGUGAAUACGUUCCCGGGCCUUGUA
rnacentral:rRNA from 1 species